rnacentral:rRNA from 1 species
UACGUAGGGGGCUAGCGUUGUCCGGAAUUAUUGGGCGUAAAGAGCUCGUAGGCGGUCUGUCGCGUCGAAUGUGAAAACCCGGGGCUCAACUCCGGGCCUGCAGUCGAUACGGGCGGACUUGAGUUCGGCAGGGGAGACUGGAAUUCCUGGUGUAGCGGUGAAAUGCGCAGAUAUCAGGAGGAACACCGGUGGCGAAGGCGGCGCUCUGGGCCGGUACUGACACUGAGGAGCGAAAGCGUGGGUAGCAAACAGG